UACGUGCCAGCAGCCGCGGUAAUACGUAGGGGUGCGAGCGUUAAUCGGAAUUACUGGGCGUAAAGCGUGCGCAGGCGGUUCGUUAAGUUCGUUGUGAAAGCCCCGGGCUCAACCUGGGAAUGGCAAUGGAAACUGGCGGGCUGGAGUGUGGCAGAGGGGGGUGGAAUUCCACGUGUAGCAGUGAAAUGCGUAGAGAUGUGGAGGAACACCGAUGGCGAAGGCAGCCCCCUGGGCCAACACUGACGCUCAGGCACGAAAGCGUGGGGAGCAAACAGGAUUAGAUACCCUGGUAGUCCACGCCCUAAACGAUGGCCACUGGGUGUUGGGGAAGCGAUUCCUUGGUACCGUAGCUAACGCGUGAAGUGGCCCGCCUGGGGAGUACGGCCGCAAGGUUAAAACUCAAAGGAAUUGACGGGGACCCGCACAAGCGGUGGAUGAUGUGGAUUAAUUUGAUGCAACGCGAACAACCUUACCUACCCUUGACAUGUCUGGGAGCCUGCUGAGAGGUGGGUGUGCCCGAAAGGGAACCGGAACACAGGUGCUGCAUGGCUU
rnacentral:rRNA from 1 species